rnacentral:misc_RNA from 1 species
UGGUUCUGGCAUCGAUGAAGAACGCAGCGAAAUGCGAUAAGUAGUGUGAAUUGCAGACUUUAGUGAAUCAUCGAAUCUUUGAACGCACAUUGCGCCCCUUGGUAUUCCAUUGGGCAUGCCUGUUCGAGCGUCAUUUACACCCUCAAGCGCUGCUUGGUGUUGGGCGUCUGUUCGCAUGUUAGGUGCGGACUCGCCUUAAAAACAUUGGCGGCGGCUCCUGUCAGCUUCUCGCGCAGCACAUGCGCUUACCGAAGUGUUGGCUAGGGCUAGCGUCCACUAAGAACCCCCCCAGUUUGACCUCGAAUCAGGUAGGGAUACCCGCUGA